UUAAAUGCCUCUCAAUAGGUAACUAAUUAAGUUGAAAAAUUGUUGUUAUUAUUAUUAUUAUUUUGCCAGACACAGUAACAGACUGUUUGCAUUUCAGGGGAAAAUGAAGUCCCAUCUGAAGAUGCACUAAUAUUGCAACUGCAGCUUGUAAAAGGGCAAGAGAAAUUUGUUGAAAUGCUAAAAAACCAGCAGAAGGUAAUUGUGGACUUGCAGCAAAAACUUAUUGAACAACAGAACACACUGGUUAGCCAGCAACGAGAAAUUCUUGAACAGCAAAGAAAAAUGUAUGAGCAAAUGGAUCUGAUAAAAGUCCAGUAUGGCAUGCUUUUCAACACAGUGAAACAAAUGUCAUUCCAGAGUUUGCAGGAAGAUAUUCAAAAUUAUUUUGAAGCUCAUCUUCAAGGACUUCAGAACCAAGUCAGAAAUCAUCUCCAGAAAUCAUACCCUGUGCAUAAAGUAGAAGUUGAUGCAAAAGUGAUUGAUGUUGGGGAAUCUUUGCUGGACUGUGGCCUUUGUGAAAGUGAUGAAUUUUGCAAUUUCCAAAAGACACCAUCACAAUGUGAAAAAUGCACCUUGUGCCCUGCUGGCUUUUUCCAAACGUCUGCAUGUUCUGCAAACACUGAUAGGAUUUGUCAGGACAGAGAUGAAUGCACUGAAUCUCCUAACAUUUGUGGUGAGAGGAUAAAAUGCCUGAAUACCCCAGGUGGCUUCCGAUGUCUUGGGAUUGCUGAAAGAGAUGCGGCCUUGGGAUUGUGUGGAGAGGAGUAUUUCUUUAACAGAGAAAUGCAGGAAUGCCAGGCGUGCUCGGAGUGCGAAGAUGGAGCGGUAGCUGUCCCUUGUUCUGCAGCCAGUGACACUGUUUGUUCAGCAGCCAGUGAAAACAAGCUUUCCGAAUCUUGGGCUGCAAACAUUAUUUUACCCUCAGGAAAAUAUGACCGCUCUCAGGUCUACCCUGGCUUAUACUUGAAAAUAAAUGGAAGGCUUCACUGUGAAAUUAUAUCAGUUGAAGAUAACUGCGUGGUAUUCAGACAGCAUGGUUUGAUGUGGACUGAUCUCAAUUUUGCUGUAAAGCACAACUGCAGAAACUUUCUUCAACUCUCCUUGAAACUAAACAACAGCGAGGAAGGCUAUGAACUGAGUGCUGUUCGUGUUGAGCAACCAGAAGGCAAAUAUUUCCAGAGCACGAGUUUAAGCAGUGCUGCAGAGGUAGAGCCAAGCCAAAUUCUCUCUGUGUUUCUGAGGAGUCCAAAUCAAUUCUGCAACCAAAGUAAAGACUUAAAUAUUUAUGAUCUUAAUACACCACUCAGUUUAUUUUGGUUAUCCCAUGAUACGGGUGCAGUGGCCAUGAGUGCGCAGAUGUCAACUGCAAUGCACUACCAAACUAACUAUCGACCAACUUUUAAAGUUAUUUCCGUUUCCGACCCUUACAUGCUAGGUUUGUCGCAUGAUGGCAGAGCUAUAAAGUUCACCGAAAUGGGUGUUGUCAAAUUUGUUUUUCAUCAAGCAUUGUAUUCCAUGGGCCACACAUGUGUUCGUGAAGGCUUUUCCUUAGUUUCAUACAUUAAUAGGAAUGGUACUAACAGAGAAUUAAUGAACAUAUUUAAGUCUGGUGUAAAUUAUAGAGACACCUCAAUAUCGGCCUCUCAGGCCACCAAAGUCAACGCUGGGGAUUUGAUUAGCUUUGAAAUACUUUCUCCUCCUCAAUGUAAUGUUCGGUAUUUUGGAGACAGCUCUGGGAUUAGUAUGUUCAGCCUCAUCUGGAUCCCAUCUGCAGUUUCCACUGCCAUAUCAGCUACAGUUUCUCUUACAGGUUUGCCUACAGGAGUGGUCAGAAACAAAUUAUUGUGUUUCACCCAAGUCUCCUCCCAUGAGAAACAAAUACAGUUGGUUUCUUCAGGACAACUGGCUCAGAAGUAUUUCACCUUUACAGAAAGGGGGAUUGCCAGUGUUGCUCUUAAUUUAAAGCUGAUCCACUCUUGCUAUAUACUCAAAAUGACUCUAAAUCAGUUGCUUAGAGAUCAGAUGCAACCCACAGCAAUUGCUCAGCAAAUUGGAGGUCAGAUGCCAGAGGGAAGCCUGUGGACCAGCGUGUCCCUCCGCUCUUCUUUUGAAGUGCAUAAUGGCACAUUGAUAUUUGUUUCUCUUGACUGUGUGCGUGGAAGGAUCAAUCAGAUUGCUCAUGAACAUGGAACCAGCAUAUCUAUUUUAUGGAUUUCAUCUUAA
ensembl:lncRNA